AAAAACAUCGCCUCCUGCUAAAAAUCAAAGUAUAAGAGGUCCUACCUGCCCAGUGACAAUCAAGUUUAACGGCCGCGGUAUUUUGACCGUGCUAAGGUAGCGCAAUCACUUGUCUUUUAAAUGAAGACCCGUAUGAAUGGUGGAACGAGGGCUUAACUGUCUCCCUUUUCAGGUCAGUGAAAUUGAUCUGUCCGUGCAGAAGCGGACAUAAACAUACAAGACGAGAAGACCCUUUGGAGCUUAAGACAUAAAGUCAACUAUGUCAAAAAUCUCUGUAAACGAGAGCCAAACAAAAUAUUAACUGACUCAAGUCUUCGGUUGGGGCGACCACGGGGGAAAACAAAGCCCCCAUGUGGAAUGGGAUAAAACCUAAAACCACGAGGGACACCUCUAAGUCACAGAACAUCUGACCAAAAGAUCCGGCACUAAGCCGAUCAACGAACCAAGUUACCCUAGGGAUAACAGCGCAAUCCCCUCCAAGAGUCCAUAUCGACAAGGGGGUUUACGACCUCGAUGUUGGAUCAGGACAUCCUAAUGGUGCAGCCGCUAUUAAGGGUUCGUUUGUUCAACGAUUAAAGUCCUACGUGAUCUGAUUCCAGAACCGG
rnacentral:rRNA from 1 species